rfam:Cedecea davisae DSM 4568 genomic scaffold Scaffold0, whole genome shotgun sequence.
UUUCGCGACGUUAAUUUGUUCGGACUGGCCGUAAAGUUUGCCUAUUGCUUCACGAAUGCUGGGGUGCCAGGUGACGGAGCGGUUGACCGCAUCGUUAAGCGUUAAAGUUCCGGGCGCAGGGGCAUUCAGCGGGAGGGCGGUUGAGCCAUCGAGUGAGGGCAGCUCUUGUUGCUGAGCGAGGCCCUGAGUCGUAAUAGAAGCAGGUGUAUCGUCGGCCCAGGCCUGGAGUGAAAACAGACCACAAGCCAGCCAUAACGCAACAGGCUGUAUUUUUCCCAUGUUUUUUCCCUAAUAAAUGGCACUGCGUUUCUGUCUUAUUCCCCGGGCGUCUGCGCGCCCGGGGCUGUUCC